UUUGGCACCUAAAGAUUUGUAACUUGUAACAAACUACCUAAUGAAACGAAACUGUAAGUAAAAAAAUUAAAAAGCAAAACAAUUUGUUUAUGGUUGAAAGGGUGUCAAUAAUUUCAAUAUUUGGAUUUAGUCAAUUGUGGUUUUGUUGUUUUCUCAAUAAUUGUGACUAUUUACUGUUAAUAAAGACAGAAACCAGUGUUGUGCAGUGCAGUGUCUAUUGUUGAAAUUUAAAUCUGUGUCCUUUCUCCGAGCCGGUCUUCUUGGUAAGGACCGUAGAGCCGCAUGCAUGAUUUGUAGACGCGUCACAUUUGCACCGCCUCGGUAAGACCCCACCUUAAUCUGACCUUAUGGGCACGAAUACCUACUAGCAUUAACCA